UACGUAGGUGGCUAGCGUUGUCCGGAUUUACUGGGCGUAAAGAGCGCGCAGGCGGUCGUUCAAGUCGAGUGUGAAAGCCCCCGGCUCAACUGGGGAGGGUCACUCGAUACUGAUCGACUCGAAGGCAGGAGAGGGAAGUGGAAUUCCCGGUGUAGUGGUGAAAUGCGUAGAUAUCGGGAGGAACACCAAUUGCGAAGGCAGCUCGCUGGGACGGUACUGACGCUGAGGCGCGAAAGCGUGGGGAGCAAACAGG
rnacentral:rRNA from 1 species